rnacentral:rRNA from 1 species
AACGAACGCUGGCGGCAUGGCUAAGACAUGCAAGUCGAACGAUGCGUUGUAGCAAUAUGGCGCAUAGUGGCGAACGGGUGAGUACAAAAUAGGUAACGUACCCUUGGCACAGGGAUAGCGCCGGGAGCUUGCUCCCUUUGCGAAAGUGGCAUUAAUACCUGGUGACGUCUUCGGGUGGCAUCAUCUGAAGACCAUAGGCGGGGACCUUCGGGCCUGCCGGCCUGGGAGCGACCUAUUUCCUAUCAGCUAGUUGGCGGGGUAACGG